GAUGAACGCUAGCGGCAGGCCUAAUACAUGCAAGUCGAACGGUGUAGCAAUACACAGUGGCGCACGGGUGCGUAACACGUAUGCAACCUACCUUACAUUGGGGGAUAGCCUUUCGAAAGGGAGAUUAAUACCGCAUAAGACAGUAACUAGGCAUCUAGUAGCUGUUAAAGAUUUAUAGAUGUAAGCUGGGCAUGCGUCCAAUUAGUUAGUUGGCGAGGUAAUGGCUCACCAAGACGAUGAUCGGUAGGGGAACUGAGAGGUCAAUCCCCCACACUGGCACUGAGAUACGGGCCAGACUCCUACGGGAGGCAGCAGUAGGGAAUAUUGGGCAAUGGGCGCAAGCCUGGCCCAGCCAUGCCGCGUGCAGGAAGAAGGCGUUAUGCGUUGUAAACUGCUUUUGUACGGAGCGAAAAGGCUCCCUCUAAUACAGGGGGCUCAUGACGGUACCGUAAGAAUAGGCACCGGCUAACUACGUGCCAGCCGCCGCGGUAAAAC
rnacentral:rRNA from 1 species